UAAAAUCCGUUGGCUUUAUAGACCAUGAGGGUUCAAGUCCCUCUACCCCCA
rnacentral:tRNA from 3 species